CUCAGUUGGUAAGAAAUGAAACUGAAAGGCAAAACAUAAGGGACUGUCAUACACUGACCAACCCGCUUUAAAUGAAGAUAACUUUACGUUCACAUGUCCAGUUAAACAUGAAAGAUGUUUCGCGACGAUCCCUCGAGUUAGGUAAAGGGUGGAGUUUAUGAAUGUUGGCUGGUGAGUGUUAGAAGGUAUUGGCAAAUGUAUCCCACUUUAGUGGUUGUAUUGAUGCAACGGACAGAUGUCUGAAUAGUAUUGUAGCAGAGAACACAUUUGUCAGGUAUUGUAGCAGAGAACACAUUUGUCAGGUAAGGAAGUGCCGCCUGUUUUCUCACAGCUUUUUCUAGUUGUAGGCUGUGAUGUUACCGUUUAUUAGAAAUAUUCAAAAAAAAAAUUUGUCUAUAAAGAGACGGUCAAUUGUUAGACAAGUUAAAUACGCAUGUAACUAGUAAAUCUUUAGAGGGAAAUACAAUAUUUUGUAUGACAUUUUAAAUAAGUAACCAAGCAAUUUCUUAGGAAAGAACUCCCAUACUCAUAGUAUAGUCAUAAACAGAGAAAUCGAGGAAACAGAAACUUGGCAACUUCCAUCUGACAAACUGAUUGAGGAAGUAAUUUUACUGCAGCUAUAUAUGGGGCGGGACAGCAACGGCAGCGCAGUUGUUGCUGUUUUGCCUGUUCCCUAAAAUCUCUAAACACAGUACGUUUCUUUCUGAAGUAGUUAGAUAUUGCUUCCAUUAGAACAUUUAAUUUGUAUUAUUCUCCAUCUGUAGUGAGAGAUUAAGAGAGUGUCUUUAACGUCCAAACCUACCAGAGAGGAUACAGAGCUAUAUAUCCUGGCCUUGUGGGCUGGCCAGCAGCUCUGCAGAUGGAGCUUGGUUCAGGUGACAGUAGUCCCCAAGGAGACCAUGGGUCCUUGUCCCAGCAGUGCCGUGGCCCUGGGGUGCCAACAGGGACACAUCGGCACAACAUGGAGGUAACUGCUGAGAAGGACACUGUCACUAAGAGACCCAAGACAGAGGGACAGCAGGGCCAAGCAAAGUCCCCCAGGAGAGAUCAGGAUAUGAAGAAGAAGACAAGGAGAGGUAACAGAAGAAAAAAUAAAGGAAUGAAAAAUCAAGCUGACAGGGAUCCUCAGACUCAGAGUACACUGGAAAAAGGGGAGACGGAGACCCAAACCGACCAGGUGUGUCAAACCUUGGAAACACAGACACAAGAACACGACCAAGAUCACCAAGCUGAAACCAGUCAACAACAGGACCAGUCCAUGCAUCAGACUAAUGAUACAAAACCAACACAUGUCAAGGAUGCUAAGAGAGUUCAGGUCCAGACUCAAACAAAUAAACCUAAAGGCAAGAACCGGGCGACUCAGACCCCUAUAGUUGUUCAGAACACACAGCAGACACAGACAGAACCCUCUGAUUCCACUCAACCAAUGACAGAUGAACAUGCUGACACCACUCAGCCAAUGAAUGAGCAAACACAGAACAGUGAUGGAGCAGGCAGUGAAGGAGGAGCAUCAGAACCACCUAAGAGGGAGAAUCCAAACUCUACCGAAGAGGUAAAGAGUAAGCCCGAAUCAGAGAAAGGGCUACAACAUUCAGGAGAAAGCUCAGGGAGUCCCACAGCCUGCCAAGUAAAACAUGGAGUCAAAUUAACUACCAAGUCUUAUGCAGAAGCUACAGCGGAAAAUAAAAUAAAGACUCAGAAGGGGUCGAAGGAGCUGAGUCCUCAGACUUCAAAUCAAUGCAAAAAGGAUUCUAAGAGUAGAGGAUGUCGGUAAGCUGGCAAUAAGCUUAUGGCAUGCUGUUAUUACCUGAGUACAAUGAGUAACAUAACACAUGACGCGACACAUAACAAGUAUACUGUUAUUACUUCUUUAUUACUGUAACUAGUCACUCAACAUUUUCGGUCUUCUUUUAUUUUCUCUCCUUCAUCAGAGAGCGGUCCCCAGUAAGGAUUCCUCCUGGGAUUCCUAUGUUCACCUUUCAUAUCUAUGCUGUGCUGGACAAAAAGUUCAGAUUCAACCAAGAAUAUGACACGCUCUUGUUAUGUCAUCAAGGUGUCACUCAUGCGCUUGAAAUGACUCAUUUCGUGUGAGUAUGAAUACUUUUCUCCUUACUGGUGAUGUUGGAUUGAUGAGAAUAUUUUACUGUUUAUCGGCUACAUAAACCACACAAUACACACAUAGCGAUAAUUAUCAUUGUUUGCAAAUUUGUUUUUAAUUUAUUCUUUAGAGGUCUAUGUCAGCAAGGCUAUCUAAUAGAAGCAAGUCUCUCAGUACCGGAAAGCUCAAUACACAGGGGACAAAUGUUGACUUACCAAUAUCAGGUGCAGCAAAGGCAGAAAGAGAUUGUGGAGAUGGCCACAAGGAAUAUUCAAAUUCCAAAUGAUUCACAAGUAAAGCGUAAGAGGAAAACAUUUUAUAUCUAUUUUUAGAAGUUAACAAUUACCUUGUAUGUUACAUUGAGUAUGAUACUGAUUAUUUUCCAUUGUUUCCAGAGUUGCACCUUUACGAGGGUCAUAUUCAUCGGCUGGAGUCAAGGUGGUCCUUCCAAGGGUGGAUAGAUUUGUUCCAAUCACAAAUAAAGGGUAUGGCUGAUGCCUGGCAAGCCUCUGCCCAUCUACUAUUAGACCACAUUUUACAGAAAUGGGAUCCACCCAACCAGGAGAGCACUGUGCAGUUUGCUCAGCUCUUGCAUCAUUUCCAGAGGAGUUACUCAUCAGCUGUUCAACAGGUGGUCUACCCAGGAAAUGUCAAACCCCCUUUGGUUAAGGUGAGUGGGACAUUUACAGUGUGUAAUGAUAUUGUAAUGGCAUUUCAAGAAAACAGUAUGACCAUUAGAUCCAAUAGCACACAUUCAACGUUUUCUUUAUUUUUCUUUUUUUUUGUUGAAUAAAGGUGUCAGAGUUGAUUUCUGAGCAUUUGCUGCAGCUGUUGCAUGCUGAGUCCCAGGGAACAUCGCAGAAGAGCCAGACUGUCAACAACCCUCUAGUGUUUGGCUUCUCUUUGUUCAGUGUCUGCCAAGCUUGUCAGAUAGAUCUUGGGGUGAAGGGCUGGGCAAAACUAUGCCACCUAGUAUCCUCACACACUGCACUUGACAGCAGAAACAUAGAGGAAAUUAGAAAUGUCUUCUCUUUUCCACAAAAGUGAGUUUCAGAUGCUAUGUUUAUAUUGUGUUGUUUGAUUACAGCAACCCUGUCUAUAUGUUGGGUGAAAUCUGUUCAUCUGUCUUUCUUUGUCUCCACAGCCUUGUGAUUGGUAUGAUCAACAACUGCGUACAGAGGCUGGUCUCGGAGCUUCCCCUGCUCAUUCCUCUACUGCACACGCUCAGACAGCCGGGAGCAGACGCUGGCAGGCUUGGUCCUACUAUAGAGGAGAUGAACUGGGCAGGGCUUGAAAAUGUUAAGUUCAACAACUUCAGAGAGAGGAUCAGAAGCUUUUCUGACAAAAGAAGGUUUGUCCAAUUGUCCCUCAAAGUGUCUCAAAACCCAAUUUGAGUCGUCCACAAUGUGCUUUUUAAAAUCUGUAUUGUGAAUAAUUGUAUCA
rnacentral:lncRNA from 1 species